UCCGCCUUGGUUGAUGCGUUAGUACGGCGAGUGAGCGGCAAAAGCUCAAAUUUGAAAUCUGGUACCUUCGGUGCCCGAGUUGUAAUUUGGAGAGGGCAACUUUGGGGCCGUUCCUUGUCUAUGUUCCUUGGAACAGGACGUCAUAGAGGGUGAGAAUCCCGUGUGGCGAGGAGUGCGGUUCUUUGUAAAGUGCCUUCGAAGAGUCGAGUUGUUUGGGAAUGCAGCUCUAAGUGGGUGGUAAAUUCCAUCUAAAGCUAAAUAUUGGCGAGAGACCGAUAGCGAACAAGUACAGUGAUGGAAAGAUGAAAAGAACUUUGAAAAGAGAGUGAAAAAGUACGUGAAAUUGUUGAAAGGGAAGGGCAUUUGAUCAGACAUGGUGUUUUGUGCCCUCUGCUCCUUGUGGGUAGGGGAAUCUCGCAUUUCACUGGGCCAGCAUCAGUUUUGGUGGCAGGAUAAAUCCAUAGGAAUGUAGCUUGCCUCGGUAAGUAUUAUAGCCUGUGGGAAUACUGCCAGCUGGGACUGAGGACUGCGACGUAAGUCAAGGAUGCUGGCAUAAUGGUUAUAUGCCGCCCGUCUUGAACCACGGACCA
rnacentral:rRNA from 1 species